CGGAGGAAAAAGAAAACCAACAGGGAUUGCCCUAGUAACGGCGAGUGAAGCGGCAACAGCUCAAAUUUGAAAUCUUGGCCCCCGGGUCCGAGUUGUAAUUUGUAGAGGAUGCUUUUGGUGCGGUACCUUCCGAGUUCCCUGGAACGGGACGCCAUAGAGGGUGAGAGCCCCGUCUGGUUGGACGCCAAUCCUUUGUAAAGCUCCUUCGACGAGUCGAGUAGUUUGGGAAUGCUGCUCUAAAUGGGAGGUAUAUGUCUUCUAAAGCUAAAUAUUGGCCAGAGACCGAUAGCGCACAAGUAGAGUGAUCGAAAGAUGAAAAGCACUUUGAAAAGAGAGUUAAAAAGUACGUGAAAUUGUUGAAAGGGAAGCGCUCAUGACCAGACUUGGGCCCGGUUGAUCAUCCAGGGUUCUCCCUGGUGCACUCUUCCGGCCCAGGCCAGCAUCAGUUCGCUGUGGGGGAUAAAGGCUUCGGGAAUGUGGCUCCUCCGGGAGUGUUAUAGCCCGCUGCGUAAUACCCUGUGGCGGACUGAGGUUCGCGCAUCUGCAAGGAUGCUGGCGUAAUGGUCAUCAGCGACCCGUCUUGAAACACGGACCAAGGAGUCGUCUUCGUAUGCGAGUGUUCGGGUGUUAAACCCCUACGCGGAAUGAAAGUGAACGCAGGUGAGAGCUUCGGCGCAUCAUCGACCGAUCCUGAUGUUCUCGGAUGGAUUUGAGUAAGAGCAUACGGGGCCGGACCCGAAAGAAGGUGAACUAUGCCUGUAUAGGGUGAAGCCAGAGGAAACUCUGGUGGAGGCUCGCAGCGGUUCUGACGUGCAAAUCGAUCGUC
rnacentral:rRNA from 1 species